CCCCUCUCAGGGUCGCACCUGGAGAGCUUCCAAUACUCUACCAGUCUUGAGUUUUGGAGGGAGAGUUAAGCAGAAGCACACCCAUUCCAUUCCUAGCUUGGGCAGUGGCUAAAGCGUGGAAGGCAAUCUGCUACAAGU